ACGAACGCUGGCGGCGUGCUUAACACAUGCAAGUCGAACGGAAAGGCCCCUUUGGGGGUACUCGAGUGGCGAACGGGUGAGUAACACGUGUGUAACCUGCCCUUGACUUCGGGAUAACUUCAGGAAACUGGGGCUAAUACCGGAUAGGAAUCCUUGCUGCAUGGUGGGGGUUCGAAAGCUUCGGCGGUUUUGGAUGGACUCGCGGCUUAUCAGCUUGUUGGUGGGGUAGUGGCUUACCAAGGCUUUGACGGGUAGCCGGCCUGAGAGGGCGACCGGCCACAUUGGGACUGAGAUACGGCCCAGACUCCUACGGGAGGCAGCAGUGGGGAAUAUUGCACAAUGGGCGGAAGCCUGAUGCAGCAACGCCGCGUGCGGGAUGACGGCCUUCGGGUUGUAAACCGCUUUCAGCAGGGGCGAAGCUUGUGGUGACGGUACCUGCAGAAGAAGCACCGGCUAACUACGUG
rnacentral:rRNA from 1 species